UGUUUGGGUUGGGGUGUCUUAGGGUUAUUACUGCUCUGAUGAAAUGCCAUGACUAAUAGCAACUUGGGGAGGAAAGGAUUUAUUCUGCUUACACUUCCACAUCACUGUUCAUCAUCAAAGGAAGUCAGAACAGGAACUUACACAGGGCAGGAACCUGGAGACAGGUGUUAAUUCACAGGUCAUGAGGGGUGCUGCUUACUGGCUUGUAACUCAUGGUCUUUGCAGCCUACUUAUAAAAACCAGGUCCACCAACCCAAAAGUGGCCAAUAGACUAGGCUCUCCCACAUCACUCACUAAGAAAAUGGUAUUCAGGGUUUGGCCUUAAGGAGGCAGCUUCUGAAAUGAGGUUUGCUCCUCUCAGAGCUUGUGUCUAGUUGACAUAUAACUAGCUAGCAUAUGUGAUGGAUGCUAGGAAGAGGCAAAUAAGGGGAGAUAUGAUCAAUGUAUAUCUGUAUCAACUUAUCAAGGACAAACAAAAGUAAGCAACAAAUAGUUCUGAAAAAAUAUCAUUUAAGGAAAUUAUGAUAGUAAAAGACUGUAAUCAUAGAAAACAGCAAUAUAGAAUACAAUAUAUAGUAUACAACCAAAGAAGUAAUGAGUCUUACUAAAAAUAUCUCUGUUGUGUCAAUUCCUCAUGUGAUUCUGUGGAAUGUAAUACCACAACAUGAUUUAAUAUUUUAGCAUUUCACCAUUGAGACAAAUUUUUUUUCUUAAAAAUUUUAUUUUCAGAAGAGAUUGAACUAAUGAUAGGGUAAUAGGGCCAGGGAACAAACAGUGCUACCCAGACUUGCCACCAAACCCAAGACCAUGGCGAACAAACAGAGUCUCACCAAUCUCUGAGCUCACUCCAACUUCAGGACUUGAAAUUUCACCCAUCUUCAACCUGGAAAUCUCUACCCUGGAAAGACAUGCCCCCACACUCUGCAAUAAAACCCUGCAUAAAUUCUGCCUUCUGUUCAGUUCCCUGAAUUUCUCAUGAAAGAAGAAGCAUCCAUCCUCCUGGUUCCUGCCCUUUAGCCCAAAUAAAUCUCUUUGUGAGAGGUUUGGUGUGUGGUGUGAUGUCAUUUUUCUUGGCUUCUGAUUGCCAGGAUUGCUCCUGGAGCAGAGAUGUACCAGUGCUGUAGAGAAAUCCUUUCCCUUCAGAGAUACAAUAUUAUUUUGAUAAAAUACUCUGACAAAUGGAAAGAAAGAUGUAAUGGAAUGUUAUUCUCUACUUUUGUAACCACGUAAAUAGAUUGUAUAAACAUGCUAAGAAAACAAAUUGUAAUCUAUUAUGCAAAAAUUAAAUGGUAAAAAUGAAUUUUGCCAUGUAAGGAAGGGAACACAAAACUUGUUUGAAGUCUCAACAUGUCUCAUCUUUUAUAGGCAGAGAACAAUGGAGGUUUAAGAUUAACAAACUGUAUGAAAAAGCUUAAGGAAAUAUUUGAAAACACAAGGUCCAAAUGUCAUAAAAUGUGCAAGGGUCAAUAAUGGCUAGAGUAGUGAAAUCAUGUUUCCAGAAUGAGUAACACUGAAACAUUUCAACAUUUAUAUUUUUAUAUAAUAUAAAUGUUUUUGUACUGAAAGUCGAAUUCCUCUUUUCUUUCAAAUAUAAUUUUCUAGCUAUUUGACUCAGCUAAAUCAUAUUAGACCAGCUAAAAAAAGUUUUGUGAAAAAUACAUUUUAAGUUGUUAUUUCUAAAUCUUAGCAGUUUAUUUAGCAAAUUCCUCUAUUGCUUUUUAUAUUGUAGUACUAAAUUCUUCAAUUUAGCAACACUUCACUAACCCUAGAGUUUCUUGGCCCUACACUAUGUCGGAAAACUGUUUCUGUAUUGAAAAUUAGUCUAUUCACAGUCCCCACUCUAUGGACAGAAUCUAUGUCAUCAAGUUACAUAAUUGAGUUAAACAUAUCUGUAUUUCAAACUGAUUUUCAAAGUAUCACAUACUUAGCAUCCAUAUAAACCAACAAACAUUUGUGAUUUUUCUUAAUUGGUCUGAGUUUAUAAAUGAAAUAAAAUAGGAGUCAAGACAAAAAUUGAGAUGAAAAUUGUCCUUUCAAGAAGAUUGCAUUGAUACUAUAGCUUGAUUUUGGUAGGAUGUCUACUUUUACAAUAAGCCUACAGAGCCAUGAGCAUGGGCUUCAAAGGCAGGCAAUAGAGUCAUAGACAGCCUUUGUUCCUGCUGUUAGGGGUCCCACAUAAAAACCAAACUGCACACCCAUCACACAUGUAUAGGGGUAUAUUUGUUUUUAAAGUCACUUAUGAGAAAUGCUUUAGUUUUUUUUCCUGUAAUUUAUGAGUCUCCUUUUUACACGACUCUAAAUAUGUAUACUUAAAUUUUAUAAUAUAUUUAUUUUGUAAUUUUUGCCUAAGUAUUUUAUUCAUUUAUAAGUAUUUAGUAAAUAUUCAUGUGC
rnacentral:lncRNA from 1 species